AAAUCUAAACUAAUAAAUCAUGUG
rnacentral:snRNA from 1 species